GGACGAACGCUGGCGGCGUGCCUAAUACAUGCAAGUCGAACGAACGGAGGAAGAGCUUGCUCUUCCAAAGUUAGUGGCGGACGGGUGAGUAACACGUGGGCAACCUGCCUGUAAGUUGGGGAUAACUCCGGGAAACCGGGGCUAAUACCGAAUGAUAAAGUKUGGCGCAUGCCAYGCUUUUGAAAGAUGGUUUCGGCUAUCGCUUACAGAUGGGCCCGCGGUGCAUUAGCUAGUUGGUAGGGUAAUGGCCUACCAAGGCAACGAUGCAUAGCCGACCUGAGAGGGUGAUCGGCCACACUGGGACUGAGACACGGCCCAGACUCCUACGGGAGGCAGCAGUAGGGAAUCUUCCGCAAUGGACGAAAGUCUGACGGAGCAACGCCGCGUGUAUGAAGAAGGUUUUCGGAUCGUAAAGUACUGUUGUUAGAGAAGAACAAGGAUAAGAGUAACUGCUUGUCCCUUGACGGUAUCUAACCAGAAAGCCACGGCUAACUAC
rnacentral:rRNA from 1 species